UACCAGCAGUGACUAAAUUGAAGCUUCAAAUCAACAAAUCAUUAGCGACCUCUUCUAAUAGUUCAUCUAGUAUGAACUCCCAUGUAUCAACAAUAAUCUCUUCACUUUCCAAUUGAAGAUUCAUCCAAGUGCCAUCUUCCAGAUCUAUGUUAACUAGCUGGUUCAAUGUUCUUGGAAAUUGAUUAUGGAGAUGUCUCUCGAUAUGCUUAUUUAUUUCUUGGAUGAGGUUCUCUCCCAUUGGAGGUGGCUGUAUCUUGUGCAUGAGAAAAGAUAAGCAAGGAGGGUUUCUAAAAUAUGUCUCCUGGAUUAUUGUUAUAGCUUCACAGAUACAAUCAAAAGGGAGCUUUAGAUCAUCUGUUUGAUUGCCUUGGUGUAGUUCUUCAAUCAUGCAAGGGCUGAUCAAUUCAUCUUCUAGAUACCACACCUCUAGAUUUUGGUAUGUGCAUAGUUCUGAUAGCUCCAGCAUUGCCUUUAUGUAACUUAGCCUGGCAUCCUCGUCCUCCCAGAAGACCCAUUGGUCUGAUAUAGCAUCUGGUAUGUGGGGCCUCAUCAUAUCUUGAUGCAUCUCACCUGUGGAUAAUUGCAAGACCAAAAUACAUCACCUUUAGAUUAGAACACAUAUUUUCUUAAGGUCAAAAGGAAAUGUAAUUUUGAUAUGUUUAGAUGAGAAGAUACAUUUUAUCAUAGUUUCAUGGUCAGGACUGUCAACAUCUUCACAGAAGAAUGGAUCAAGGACAGAUACAGGGCUGGGUUGCUCUUGCUUUUCGUGGUUCCCUUCGGGUGAAAUUUGUGAUAUAAGUUCAAGUGAUGCACUUGAUCUGGGAGUUUUUGGCUCUUGGUGUUCUAGGCUCUCAACCACAUUCUCAGGAUAGCUCAGCAACAUCCCUGCAUGCUCUCUGCCAGGUUCGGCUCCUUCAAUCAGUUCCUGCAGUGUAGAUAAACACAUUAUAACUCAAAACAACAAUGGAGACCAGAUGGAAUAUCACUAAGUAUUGGUGUGAACAUACUAGUGAUGAGGUACAUGUACACUGCUCUUUUAGGGUGAUCCCUUCACUGCAAAUCGUUUCGGAGCAAGCCGGCUUGUCGAUUUCUUCAAUAUGCAUAAUGUCA
rnacentral:sRNA from 1 species